ACAUUACAAAAAGUUGUUAUUGUAGUUAACCAGGCCUUAACCUAAUAUGGUAUUAAAAAAAGAAAGAAAAUGAAUUCCAAAUAUUGUUGCAAGUCUAUGUUUGUAUGCAACUUGUUCACAUGUAGUGAGUUUGUACAUAUUUUCAAUCCAAUCAUGGAAGGGAGCUUUUUCCAGUUCAUCAAUACCAGUCUUUUUCCUGUAGUAAAGGCGCAGAGAGUCCAUUCAUAAUGUCCCUUUGUUGUAUUCAAUACAUUGUAUAUAUGAUUCAAAAGGAUAUUUUCCUCUGCAAAUUUAAGAUUAUCAGGACAUUGGUUAAGUUUCAAAAUAUUUGAGAAGCCCUGCCUUGGGCUGAAUUCAGACAGCACUUUAUUUCAUUUCCCAGUGUCUCCUUACCUGGUAAUCUUAGGUGAUCUUUCACAAGGCACAAAAACUAUUUCUGGAAAUCUAGCAGAAUCUGAUGGAAGUUUUGCACUCAUCUCUGUGUUAAUUGCUUUCAGGAAAAAAUCCGUUUGCAACUCUGUUAGCCCAGAAAAUCAUGAGACAAAAUUUGGGACAGACAUACAAAUAUUUCCUGCUGUUUUCAUGGGGGAACAGCACAUAUGACAUUCACUGUUUCAUUGCACCACAACAUGUCAUAAGAGGCAAGGUGAUGUAAGUGCAUAAAUUUAUGUGUGGCAUAGAGAAAGUGGAUAGAGACAGGUUUUUCUCCCUCUGUCAUAACACUGCAACUUGUGGGCAACCAAUGAAGCUGAACGUUGAAAGAUUCAGGGCAGAAAAAAAGGGAGGCAGUGAUGGCCACUGUGACGUUUGCCCAUUCUUUUGAAAAUGUCUGUACAGAGGGAGAGAAAGAGUUAAUAGGUAGACCAAUAGAAAAGCCAGAGGCAGAGCCUACCUGUUCAUAAAACGGCUUAGCCCAAGGUUUGGUUGGUUUUAGUUGGUUGGUUGGUUGGUUGGUUGGUUGGGAAAGGCAGUUGGGAAAGCAGUUGGCAGGCAGUUGGAAAUAGAGAGACAGUUAGUGCAGUUGGUUCUUGUGUGAGGGGAGGUAGAAGAGUUAGAGACAGAAUAAAGUAAGACCAAGAAGAGUAACAACGUUUGAAUGCAGUUAAAGUUUAUUUGUGUUUGCAAUAAACUACAGUGG